rnacentral:tRNA from 4 species
GCGGCCUUGGUGUAGUGGCAACACAGCAGAUUGUGGUUCUGUUAUUACGGGUUCGAUUCCCGUAGGCCGCCCCA